rnacentral:rRNA from 1 species
GACGAACGCUGGCGGCGUGCUUAACACAUGCAAGUCGAACGGAAAGGCCCUGCUUUUGUGGGGUGCUCGAGUGGCGAACGGGUGAGUAACACGUGAGUAACCUGCCCUUGACUUUGGGAUAACUUCAGGAAACUGGGGCUAAUACCGCAUAGGAGCUCCUGCUGCAUGGUGGGGGUUGGAAAGUUUCGGCGGUUGGGGAUGGACUCGCGGCUUAUCAGCUUGUUGGUGGGGUAGUGGCUUACCAAGGCUUUGACGGGUAGCCGGCCUGAGCGGGGGACCGGGCCAGAUGGGAUUGAGGUGAGGCCCGGGCUACAACCGGAAGGGAGGGGGGGGAAUAUUACACAGUGGGGCGGAGGCAGGAUGGAGAAAGCCGGGGUGGGGGAGACCGGCUUUCGGGUGGGAACCGGUGUUCGCUUAAACGGAAUGGUAAUGACGGUAACGGGUGAAGAAGCACCGGCUAACUACGUG